GAAGAAAACACCCAUCAACACCUGAAACAAAGAAAACAAAAUUUUGCAAAUUAUUUGGAGCUCAAGAAUAUAAUGCAAACUGCACAUAGGAAAUCACCAAUAACUAAUAUUACACAAAGUGCUGGUUACUCACCAAUUGUAUGAUUCCCCAAACGGAGAUGAUCAAACCGCAGAGCGACAAUUUUGGACCACAAAUUUUCAUUUUUGCUGAUUUAUUUAUUUGUGUUACACUGAAAGGUAAACGGUGACUUUUCUUCUUAAACCUCGUACAAUUUUCCGCAAGGAAAACUUACAAAUUUUCAGCCGUCGUCGAAUUGAAGUUGAAGAAAUUCGCGAAGAAAAA